rnacentral:rRNA from 1 species
AUGGGGGAGAGGGAGUGCUUGACCCAGCUGUUGGAGCGGCUGGACUGCAAGAUGGAGGAGAGCAAGACGUCAGGCCUGAGCAAUGUCUUUCAAGUUCCAUGCCCCACUGUGCGAAUUCGUUCAUCCAAAAUCUGCUUCAAGGCAACAACUGUCUAUGGCCCCACUGACCCGGCUAGCAAAGAUGCUUUCUUUGCGGAGAUCAUCAUCCACAAGCCGUUGCCGGAUAUGGCAUGGCUCGUCCUAGGGGACUUCAACCAGAUCUACCGAGCUAGAGACAAAAAUAAAAGGAAUGUGAAUCGUAGUAGGAUCAACCGCUUCCGAUCUGCGUUGCAAACCUACAAACUCAAGGAAAUCCACCUCCAGAAUCGGUGUUUUAGGUGGAGCAAUGAGCGGAAUAACCCAACGCUAUGCAAGCUCGACUCAUUCUUUUGCAAUGCGGAGUGGGACACCACUUUCAACACUCAUGUCCUCCAUGCCCUGUCAUCCUCCCUCUCCGACCACUGCCCCUUACUACUAGCUGAUGACAAGGGGCCGAGACGGCCUCGAUCCUUCUACAAGAAUAUGUUCUUGAAGGCCAAGAUCCACCUACAUGCAGCCCACAUGGUCAUCCUUCACCUGGACAUUGCUCAAGAGGAGCGUACUCUCUCUGUGGAGGAGCUAGACCUUCGCUCACGCCUCAAGCGGAGGGUGAUUAGCCUUGCAGUGUUGCAAAGGGCUAGGAAAAGGCAGUGUGCGAGGAUUGCUAAUCUGAGGGAAGGGGAUUCCAAUACAAAAAAAUUCCACCGCCGUGUCAAUCAUUCUAGCCGGACUCCACCCCGCUCCUCCUCCGUCGCCGUUCAACCCCUAUCCUCCGACCGCCCCGUCAAGUACCAUCUGAUAAAGAAACUCCGCGAGCACCACGCGUCCAAGCCAGGACUUGAACUCGGGUGGGCUGGCAGCAACCUCAACUGUCCAGCCAACGGGUCGACGCCCCGUCCUCUCAUGCAGCUAUUUAAACGUCUGCCUUUUAUUGCCGGUGCGCCGUCGCACCGGGUUACACUAGUGAUCGAUGGGCGGACCGCAACAGUGAAGCGGUCACGGAACAGUGAACGGAUCAACACUAGCCGGGAGUCGAAACCACAUGUGGAGGCGGAAAGCAACCAGGCGUGCAGGGCCAGCGUGAGGUCGCGCGAUGCACGGGCUGGUCUUCGAGAUGAAUCUAGCAGGAGAACGACAAGCCGCCUCAGGUUACGCACAAAGGACCAAGAAUUGGCAUUAUCUUCAAAAAAUCCGCUGUCACUGGAACGCUCAUGUGCGCACAUCCCAAAAGCUGCAACCGGAUUUGGCAAAUCCGACCCCUCAAACGCUCGCGGAUCAAUCUGUGUACAGCGCCGUCGCUUUCCUCUCUCGCUGUCGGCGUCGUCGCAACUUGCGGGCGACGUUCUCUGCCUGCAAGUCACCGCCGAUGAAAUCGCGCCGUCGACGGACGAGGCGGACUGCGUCUCCAUCGCGACGGUGUGGGUCGGGCUGGACGGCAUCUCCGACGAUAGAUCGGGACCAGAGGUGAGGAUUGAGAGUAAGGGUGGACGGCGCCAGCCUGGACUGCAGAAACGUAUGGUCUUGAUUAUCCUUGUGAAAAGAGAAACGUCUGGACAUGGAAAAGAAAUGAUGAUGCGGCGGAGAAAGCAGAACACCGAAAAUUCCAGUCCAAUCCAAUCCAACGAGGGGCGCUGCGUGACCACGUUCGUGCAUCCUUUUGACAGGUCCGAGGGGAAGAGUCCGAGUAGCCAUCGCCGAGCUUUCCCAAACACCGCGCGUGAUGUGAUGCAGACGUGGCAUCACCUGGCCAUGCGGAGGCCAUGCGCCCAUGCAGGCUUGUUCCGGUCCUCCGCCUGGUCUUGCCAGCACAUCUGCCAUGGACGAUGGAUGUCGGCUUUCUCGUCAUGGGCCAUGCAUGGCCACCACGUGACGAGAUACAGCCGUGCAACUGCGGGGCAGUACCCGAGACGGAAUAAACACGGUUUUGGGGAUUUCGACUAUCAGGAGCAUGGCCGUGUUUCUGGAUGGAGCACAGGCAUGUGA